rnacentral:rRNA from 1 species
UGAUAUGAACCGUUAUAACCGGCGAUUUCCGAAUGGGGAAACCCAGUGUGAUUCGUCACACUAUCAUUAACUGAAUCCAUAGGUUAAUGAGGCGAACCGGGGGAACUGAAACAUCUAAGUACCCCGAGGAAAAGAAAUCAACCGAGAUUCCCCCAGUAGCGGCGAGCGAACGGGGAGCAGCCCAGAGCCUGAAUCAGUGUGUGUGUUAGUGGAAGCGUCUGGAAAGGCGCGCGAUACAGGGUGACAGCCCCGUACACAAAAAUGCACAUGCUGUGAGCUCGAUGAGUAGGGCGGGACACGUGGUAUCCUGUCUGAAUAUGGGGGGACCAUCCUCCAAGGCUAAAUACUCCUGACUGACCGAUAGUGAACCAGUACCGUGAGGGAAAGGCGAAAAGAACCCCGGCGAGGGGAGUGAAAAAGAACCUGAAACCGUGUACGUACAAGCAGUGGGAGCACGCUUAGGCGUGUGACUGCGUACCUUUUGUAUAAUGGGUCAGCGACUUAUAUUCUGUAGCAAGGUUAACCGAAUAGGGGAGCCGAAGGGAAACCGAGUCUUAACUGGGCGUUAAGUUGCAGGGUAUAGACCCGAAACCCGGUGAUCUAGCCAUGGGCAGGUUGAAGGUUGGGUAACACUAACUGGAGGACCGAACCGACUAAUGUUGAAAAAUUAGCGGAUGACUUGUGGCUGGGGGUGAAAGGCCAAUCAAACCGGGAGAUAGCUGGUUCUCCCCGAAAGCUAUUUAGGUAGCGCCUCGUGAAUUCAUCUCCGGGGGUAGAGCACUGUUUCGGCAAGGGGGUCAUCCCGACUUACCAACCCGAUGCAAACUGCGAAUACCGGAGAAUGUUAUCACGGGAGACACACGGCGGGUGCUAACGUCCGUCGUGAAGAGGGAAACAACCCAGACCGCCAGCUAAGGUCCCAAAGUCAUGGUUAAGUGGGAAACGAUGUGGGAAGGCCCAGACAGCCAGGAUGUUGGCUUAGAAGCAGCCAUCAUUUAAAGAAAGCGUAAUAGCUCACUGGUCGAGUCGGCCUGCGCGGAAGAUGUAACGGGGCUAAACCAUGCACCGAAGCUGCGGCAGCGACGCUUAUGCGUUGUUGGGUAGGGGAGCGUUCUGUAAGCCUGUGAAGGUGUGCUGUGAGGCAUGCUGGAGGUAUCAGAAGUGCGAAUGCUGACAUAAGUAACGAUAAAGCGGGUGAAAAGCCCGCUCGCCGGAAGACCAAGGGUUCCUGUCCAACGUUAAUCGGGGCAGGGUGAGUCGACCCCUAAGGCGAGGCCGAAAGGCGUAGUCGAUGGGAAACAGGUUAAUAUUCCUGUACUUGGUGUUACUGCGAAGGGGGGACGGAGAAGGCUAUGUUGGCCGGGCGACGGUUGUCCCGGUUUAAGCGUGUAGGCUGGUUUUCCAGGCAAAUCCGGAAAAUCAAGGCUGAGGCGUGAUGACGAGGCACUACGGUGCUGAAGCAACAAAUGCCCUGCUUCCAGGAAAAGCCUCUAAGCAUCAGGUAACAUCAAAUCGUACCCCAAACCGACACAGGUGGUCAGGUAGAGAAUACCAAGGCGCUUGAGAGAACUCGGGUGAAGGAACUAGGCAAAAUGGUGCCGUAACUUCGGGAGAAGGCACGCUGAUAUGUAGGUGAAGUCCCUCGCGGAUGGAGCUGAAAUCAGUCGAAGAUACCAGCUGGCUGCAACUGUUUAUUAAAAACACAGCACUGUGCAAACACGAAAGUGGACGUAUACGGUGUGACGCCUGCCCGGUGCCGGAAGGUUAAUUGAUGGGGUCAGCGCAAGCGAAGCUCUUGAUCGAAGCCCCGGUAAACGGCGGCCGUAACUAUAACGGUCCUAAGGUAGCGAAAUUCCUUGUCGGGUAAGUUCCGACCUGCACGAAUGGCGUAAUGAUGGCCAGGCUGUCUCCACCCGAGACUCAGUGAAAUUGAACUCGCUGUGAAGAUGCAGUGUACCCGCGGCAAGACGGAAAGACCCCGUGAACCUUUACUAUAGCUUGACACUGAACAUUGAGCCUUGAUGUGUAGGAUAGGUGGGAGGCUUAGAAGUGUGGACGCCAGUCUGCAUGGAGCCGACCUUGAAAUACCACCCUUUAAUGUUUGAUGUUCUAACGUUGACCCGUAAUCCGGGUUGCGGACAGUGUCUGGUGGGUAGUUUGACUGGGGCGGUCUCCUCCUAAAGAGUAACGGAGGAGCACGAAGGUUGGCUAAUCCUGGUCGGACAUCAGGAGGUUAGUGCAAUGGCAUAAGCCAGCUUGACUGCGAGCGUGACGGCGCGAGCAGGUGCGAAAGCAGGUCAUAGUGAUCCGGUGGUUCUGAAUGGAAGGGCCAUCGCUCAACGGAUAAAAGGUACUCCGGGGAUAACAGGCUGAUACCGCCCAAGAGUUCAUAUCGACGGCGGUGUUUGGCACCUCGAUGUCGGCUCAUCACAUCCUGGGGCUGAAGUAGGUCCCAAGGGUAUGGCUGUUCGCCAUUUAAAGUGGUACGCGAGCUGGGUUUAGAACGUCGUGAGACAGUUCGGUCCCUAUCUGCCGUGGGCGCUGGAGAACUGAGGGGGGCUGCUCCUAGUACGAGAGGACCGGAGUGGACGCAUCACUGGUGUUCGGGUUGUCAUGCCAAUGGCACUGCCCGGUAGCUAAAUGCGGAAGAGAUAAGUGCUGAAAGCAUCUAAGCACGAAACUUGCC